rnacentral:lncRNA from 10 species
CCACAGCCCUAUGACUUCAUCGUGGACUGAGGACGAACCGCAGUCGACUUGCGCCAGCCCAGAGGCUGGGGAGGCGUCCGAGCCUCCGUCCCGCCUCGUCGUUGAAGAAGGUUAAGGACAAGCGCCAGCUCACCUGCGCUGGGGCAGGGAAGGGCAGAGUGGCCGAGCCCGGGAGGGCGCGACAGGGGCGAGGCGACCCCAGUCCAGAGGCUGACUUCCUCACCGCCCUGGGUCCCAAUCCUGAUCUGGGCUACCCUAUCUGUGCUUCUGGUGAGGUGGGCCCAGAACCAUCGUGUGAAUAAUGAUUGACCUCAGCUAGUGGUUCUCAUGGAGUGAUUGAUUUUGCUUCCCAGAGGACAUCAGCAAUGUCUGGAGACAUUUCCAGUUGUCACUACUUGAGAGGAAGCGUGAUCGGCCUCUAGAAGGGAGAGACCAGGGAUGCCGCUGCUCAAUAUCCUAUAAUGCACAGAACAGCUUCUACGACAAAGAGUUAUUCCACCAAAAAUGUCAGUAGUGCCAAGGUUGAGAGAACCUGCUCUAGGGUAAUCAGUGUGGUCCCAAUCUCCCUGUCAGUAACUGAUUCAACUCACAUAAUAAUCUUAUGGGAGUGUGAUGUAAUUCUA